CUUGUACUCCCUCCGUCCGAAAAUACUUGUCAUUGAAAUGGAUGUAUCUAGAUGUAUUUUAGUUCUAGACACAUCCAUUUUGAUGACAAGUAAUUCCGAACAGAGGGAGUACUUG
rnacentral:pre_miRNA from 1 species